UGACCGUGCGAAGGUAGCAUAAUCAUUAGUCUUUUAAUUGAAGGCUGGUAUGAAGGGUUGAAUGAGGGAAAUGCUGUCUCUGCUGAGAGGUUGAAGUUCAAGAUUUUGUGAAGAAGCAAAAGUGAGCCUAUAAGACGAGAAGACCCUAUCAAGCUUUACAUUUAUUUUUAUUAUGGUAAAAUAAGAACGGAGUGUUUUGUUGGGGCGACAGGUAUAGAAAAACUUAUUGAAUUUAGGGAUAGUUUAAUUAGACAUUUUAUUUGACCCAGGAAUCUUGGGAAGCGGAGAAAGUUACUGUAGGGAUAACAGCGUAAUUAGAUCGGAGAGUUCUAAUUGAUGAUUUAGUUUGCGACCUCGAUGUUGAAUUAGAAUUCCUCUUCCUCGUAGGCGAGGGAAAAGGCAGUCUGUUCGACUGUUAAAAUUCUACA
rnacentral:rRNA from 1 species